GACGAACGCUGGCGGCGUGCCUAAUACAUGCAAGUCGAGCGAAUCUUUUGGGAGCUUGCUCCCGAAAGAUUAGCGGCGGACGGGUGAGUAACACGUGGGCAACCUGCCUAUAAGACUGGGAUAACUUCGGGAAACCGGAGCUAAUACCGGAUACGUUCUUUUCUCGCAUGAGAGAAGAUGGAAAGACGGUCUCGGCUGUCACUUAUAGAUGGGCCCGCGGCGCAUUAGCUAGUUGGUGGGGUAAUGGCUCACCAAGGCGACGAUGCGUAGCCGACCUGAGAGGGUGAUCGGCCACACUGGGACUGAGACACGGCCCAGACUCCUACGGGAGGCAGCAGUAGGGAAUCUUCCGCAAUGGACGAAAGUCUGACGGAGCAACGCCGCGUGAACGAAGAAGGCCUUCGGGUCGUAAAGUUCCGUUGUUAGGGAAGAACAAGUACCAGAGUAAUUGCUGGUACCUUGACGGUACCUAACCAGAAAGCCACGGCUAACUACGUGCCAGCAGCCGCUGUAAGAC
rnacentral:rRNA from 1 species